UCUCUCCGUCGCCGGCACUCUCUCUGGUGUUCGACGUCGUUUCUUCUCCUAUCAACUGUGUCGGCUAGGGUUUUGGGAGGACUAAAGAGAGGUUUAAAUUCCUCUCUCCAUUUAAUCUUGGUCGUCCGAUUGGGCUAAUGUGGUGCAAUGGGAGCCAUCCGAUUAGGGCCACUUAAGGGAAACCUGGUUUUUCCUCCCCUGUGCGAUCCUAACCGUUGGAUCAACUAGCCCCUCAAAUCUUAAUUGUUGAUCGUGCGGGCCGUUGGAUCGAUGCAUGGUUCAUUAAAGUCGUUCGUUCAAAUUC
rnacentral:lncRNA from 1 species